AAGGCGGAAACCGAAAAGCCUGUAAGAGAGUAGGAA
rfam:Capnocytophaga sp. oral taxon 332 str. F0381 genomic scaffold Scfld881, whole genome shotgun sequence.